AUACGUAGGUGGCGAGCGUUGUCCGGAAUUACUGGGUGUAAAGGGCGUGUAGGCGGGGAGACAAGUCAGAUGUGAAAUACCGAGGCUUAACUUCGGGGCUGCAUCUGAAACUGUUUUUCUUGAGUGUCGGAGAGGAAAGCGGAAUUCCUAGUGUAGCGGUGAAAUGCGUAGAUAUUAGGAGGAACACCAGUGGCGAAGGCGGCUUUCUGGACGACAACUGACGCUGAGGCGCGAAAGCGUGGGGAGCAAACAGGAUUAGAUACCCUGGUAGUCCACGCCGUAAACGAUGGAUACUAGGUGUAGGAGGUAUCGACCCCUUCUGUGCCGGAGUUAACACAAUAAGUAUCCCACCUGGGGAGUACGGCCGCAAGGUUGAAACUCAAAUGAAUCGGCGGGG
rnacentral:rRNA from 1 species